UACAGACAGUGCAAGUGUUAUUCGUCUUUAUUGGGCGUAAAGGGUAUGUAGGCGGUUUUUAAAACUUUGUUUGAAAUGCUGGAGUUAAAACUUUAGAAUAGGACUUUGAAAUUUUUAAACUAAUAGAGGAGAAAAGAGGUCGUGAAGAAUUGCUCAACCCCUAUAGCAGUAAAAUGCGAGCAACUGAGUAAGACUACCAUUGGCGAAGGCAUCCUUCCAUUUUCAACUGACGCUGAGGUACGGAAACCUAGGUAAUCAACCGG
rnacentral:rRNA from 1 species